rnacentral:rRNA from 1 species
UACGUAGGGGGCAAGCGUUGUCCGGAAUCAUUGGGCGUAAAGCGCGCGUAGGCGGCCCGGUAAGUCCGCUGUGAAAGUCCAGGGCUCAACCCUGGAAAGCCGGUGGAUACUGUCGGGCUAGAAUCCGGAAGAGGCGAGUGGAAUUCCUGGUGUAGCGGUGAAAUGCGCAGAUAUCAGGAGGAACACCGAUGGCGAAGGCAGCUCGCUGGGACGGUAUUGACGCUGAGACGCGAAAGCGUGGGGAGCAAACAGG